GAACGCCCGUAGCAAUACGGGAGUGGCAGACGGGAGAGUAACACGUGGGAACGUGCCCUUCAGUUCGGAACAACCCAGGGAAACUUGGGCUAAUACCGGAUACGUCCGCAAGGAGAAAGAUUUAUCGCCGAAGGAUCGGCCCGCGUCUGAUUAGCUAGUUGGUGAGGUAACGGCUCACCAAGGCGACGAUCAGUAGCUGGUCUGAGAGGAUGAUCAGCCUCACUGGGACUGAGACACGGCCCAGACUCCUACGGGAGGCAGCAGUGGGGAAUAUUGGACAAUGGGCGCAAGCCUGAUCCAGCCAUGCCGCGUGGGUGAUGAAGGCCCUAGGGUUGUAAAGCCCUUUCGGCGGGGAAGAUAAUGACGGUACCCGCAGAAGAAGCCCCGGCUAACUUCGUG
rnacentral:rRNA from 1 species